rnacentral:misc_RNA from 1 species
UUCCUCUUCCCUUCUUGCGUUCAGCAGCAGCAUCGGCAGCCGCCGGUCACUACUCGCUGGUGGGAAGGUCACAGCGGGGAGCCUUUAAAAAAAAGCGUCUUAAUUCACGAUGGCUUCUCGCAUCUCUCGACGAUUUUACCGGCUAGAAGGCACCGAAGACUUGGUGCUCGACAGAGGAGCCAGCGCGGAGGCCGAGAACCGAUGGGUAUUUGAAAUAGCGUGGGAAGUCGUCAAUAAAGUUGGAGGCAUUUACACGGUGAUCCGUUCCAAGGCCGAGGUGAGCGUGGAAGAACUGGGAGACCAAUUCUGUCUCCUGGGCCCCUUGAACGAGAACCUGGUUCGCACCGAGGUUGAGGUCCUGGAACCACCUUACAACGUCUUUUGGAACAGCAUCAAGGCCCUGAGGGAACAGGGCAUCAAGGUUGUCUAUGGAAGGUGGCUCAUUGACGGCUACCCUCAAGUCCUGCUUUUUGACAUUGGUUCGGCUGCCUGGAAGCUCGACGAAUGGAAGCGAGACCUGUGGAACACCUGCAACAUCGGCGUUCCAUGGCACGACCGGGAGUCCAACGAUGCCAUCAUCUUUGGCUACCUCGUCGCUUGGUUUCUACAAGACUUCAUGAAGGCAGUGAGUGCCGAAAAGGGUCCCCCACUGGUCACUGCUCAGUUCCACGAGUGGCUCGCCGGCAUUGGUCUCAUCCUGUGUCGCACGAGGCACCUCGAUGUUGCCACCAUAUUCAUCACGCACGCAACCCUGCUGGGCCGGUACUUGUGUGCAGGAAACGUGGACUUCUACAACAACCUCGACAAGUUCAGUUUAGAUAAGGAGGCUGGAGACAGAGGCAUCUACCACCGGUACUGCAUGGAACGGGCCGCCUGCCACAGUGCUCACGUGUUCGCCACGGUCUCCGACGUGACGGGCAUGGAGGCGGAGCACUUGCUCAAGAGAAAGCCAGAUGCCAUCGUGCCGAACGGGCUCAAUGUCAAGAAGUUCAGUGCACUCCACGAGUUUCAAAACAUGCAUGCCAUAGCCAAGGAGAAGAUCCACGACUUCGUCAGAGGGCACUUUUACGGGCACUACGACUUCGACCUGGACAAGACCCUGUACUGCUUCACGGCAGGAAGGUACGAGUUUUCCAACAAGGGAGCAGAUAUGUUCAUAGAGUCCUUAGCACGUCUCAAUCAUUACUUGAAGGCUUCAGGAAGCGAGGUCACUGUUGUUGCUUUUCUAAUAUUCCCCGCCAAGACAAACAACUUCAACGUCGAGUCGUUACGAGGCCAGGCCAUCUCCAAACAACUUCGUGACACAGUGCAGCAAAUGCAGUCUACCAUCGGGAAGCGCAUGUUCGAAAUCUGCCUAUCGGGCAAGAUCCCCAAAGGUGACGAACUGAUCUACCCAGAAGACUUGGUGCGGUUGAAACGCUGCAUCUACGCAACACAACGCACAACGCUGCCACCAGUCUGCACUCACAACAUGCUGGACGAUGCCUCCGACCCCGUUCUGUGCCACAUUAGAAGAUGUCAGCUGUUCAACCGCAGGGAGGACCGUGUUAAGGUCAUUUUCCAUCCAGAAUUCUUGUCAUCUACCAACCCAUUGUUCAGCAUGGACUAUGAAGAGUUUGUCAGAGGCUGCCACUUGGGUGUCUUUCCAUCAUACUAUGAACCCUGGGGCUACACCCCUGCGGAGUGCACAGUCAUGGGCAUUCCCAGCGUCACCACCAACCUGUCUGGCUUCGGCUGCUUCAUAGCGGAGCACGUCGCCGACCCCAUGUCCUAUGGCAUCUACAUCGUUGACAGGAGAUUCAAGAAUGCCGAGGAGUCCGUACAACAGCUGGCUCAGUACAUGUUUGACUUCUCCUGCCUGUCCCGGAGGCAACGAAUAAUCCAGCGGAACCGCACGGAACGCCUCAGCGACCUUUUAGACUGGAAAAACCUAGGAGUGUACUACAGGAAGGCUCGGCAAAUGGCCCUACACAGGACACAUCCCGAGCUCUUAGAAGGAGACGUUGGGCCCAAGCUGCAAAUGCGGUAUCCUCGGCCCAUGUCGGAACCACCGUCGCCGUCGGCAUCGCGCACUUCCACGCCAGCACCCUCGGAACACGGCAGCGAAGACGAUGAGGAGGACGAGGAAAAUGAGGAUGACGAGGAAUACGCUGAUGCCGUGGAGCGAGACGCGCUCAGCAGCAAAUAGGCCGUUGACACCUUCCCAUCCCCUCCCCCACCCUCCUCAUUGUAGCAAUGCGAUCUGAAACGCUCCGCAUGGUGCGAGUAAGCGGGAGGCGAGAGGACACGCCGCAAGAGGAAGAAUAACAGGACUUCUGCUUCAUUAGCCAUUCCGAGACGAGUUUCUGUUGCGCUGCUUGCCACUUCCCCCUUGUGAAUCACGUCCCAUGAAUUCAUUCAGUUUUACCUGUAUUCACCAGAGACUGCCUGUGAAUGUCGAGAUUGCCGGUGAAUGUCGGUGUCACUUGCCACUUCCCCCUUGUGAAUCAAGUCCCAUGACCUCAUUCUGUUUUACUUGUAUUCACCAGAGAUUGCCGGUGAAUGUCACGCUUGAAAGUUGGUGAAUUGUGUUGCUUCUGAUGAACAUUUGGAUUUUAAAUGGAAGAGCUACCCGCUCACUACUUAACGAGCAAGGCAACCAGUACAAAAUGCUGGAAUCUGCUUCCGUUGGUGGCCGUCCUCAAAGCCAAUGCGCAACUCCCUGCGGUGGUAGCGUUUUUCAGAUUGCUACUCUUCCCAUCCCUGUAAUCAUUUCCUCACGGUGGCGGCCAUAUGUCUGUGGGAUGAAGGUUCAUUUUAAUCUCUCCACUCUUUUUGCCACGGCUGUACCAUAUCUCAAAUGCAAUAUAUAUAAUUAGUAGUAUUUUUGUGCAGCAAAACCAGGCUCCACGGUCGUUACAACUGUGGCCUUUUAAUAAUGUUGAAGUGCUGGAUAGUGCUCGUGUUCAAGGUAUUUCAGACUCGCGAUUUCAUUUCGUGGUUUCGAGAAGCCAGCUAGCAACAGCAGUCGCCUGCUGCGAUGCUCUCCAUGGCGUUCCUACUUUUGAGCUGUUGUUCCAGGGUAGCAGUUUCUAUUACUUUUUUUUUUUUGUCAUUGCUGUCUACGGCCACUGUCACUUCUCAUCUUAGUCACUAGUCCCAUCUCCUGUCCUUUUCUGUCCUGUUCCCACCUUUCUCUUUUAUAUUUCAUGUUGAGCUUGUGUGUACGCUCGAUGCUGUCUGCUCCUAGGACACUGUCCUGAUUCUGUUUCUUCUGAUCAAAAAAAAAAUACCAGUGCAUCUCGCGAGAUGUAUUUGCCUCUUCUACAGUCCAAAGCAAUGUGUAUGUUACACUGCUAUAACCGUACGCUUCUUUGUACCAGUGCCAUCGGGUGGCGAAUUGUUUUGGCGGGUGUGAGUGACAGCCGAGCCUUGAAGUAGACAGGUUGGACGGUUGCUGCAGGCAAUCUUUUUUUAGUGGUGUUCCAGAAACGCACCCAUGUGAGAACUGUCAAGUGGUUUUUAAUUUUACUUACUGCAAUAACAUUUACUUGUUGUAUUGUCUUAGGCAUGCCAUGGUCUCAGCUGCUUUAGUGUUUUUUCUCCCUUGUUGGUAUUCUCUUUAUUUUCGUGAAUUUUUGAAAGGUGUGCGUGAGUGGUGUCUAUUGCUAGAUGUGGGAUGAUAGUUAUGGGCGUUAUUUGCCAGUAUUAGUUUACAAAAUGUCCCCCUUGUUUGUUUUGGUGGCUUUUUGAUUUCUCUUCUGUCCACCUGUGUGAACAAAAGUAACAGUUUUGGAGUCAUAACUGUCAUUGAAACGUUCCUUCUUUCUUUUAAACGUUGCACACCAAUACUCAAGCCCUAUCGAUAAACGUGUUGAGUAACAUUGUACACUACCAAAUUUCAUGGUUUGCAUUGCGAUCUCUGGAAAUUGUGCCAUAAGUUGUGCAUUUCUUCACUAAAUGGAAGAGAUGCAAAGAAAAACAAAAGCUUGUUCCAUACCUAAUUUUUCUGGAAAAUGAUUGUUGAAAUGUUGCAUGAUACUUUUGUACACACUAAUGAAAGACGAGAGAGGUGCUAUACAGCCAAAUGUAUUUACAAAUGGAUAAAGAUCGGUUUUGUGCAGGUAGGUAGGUCUCCGUUUUACAAAGCUGUGUAUCGUUCUAUUCUUCAUACCCCAACCCACUGAAUUGCCUUUGCUUUAGGACUGCAAAAUAAAUUUUUCAAGGCAA